UUUUGCUCACUGACUUCUUUUCUGAGGAUUGGUGGCAAUUCAUGGAUUCACAUGAAAAGAGGAGACAAUUCACAGAACUAGCAUGACAUUACUUUUGUCUUCGCAGAGGCAUAUUGGCAUGUUUUGUGAAGCACUC
rnacentral:snoRNA from 1 species